rnacentral:rRNA from 1 species
UACGUAGGGGGCUAGCGUUGUUCGGAAUCACUGGGCGUAAAGGGUGCGUAGGCUGCGGAGAAAGUCUGGUGUGAAAUUUGCGAGCUCAACUCGCAACUAGCACCUGAUACUACUUUGCUAGAGAUCUGGAGAGGAGCUUGGAAUUCUCGGUGUAGCAGUGAAAUGCGUAGAUUUCGAGAAGGACGCUCGCUGCGAAAGCGAAGCUCUGGCCAGAUUCUGACGCUGAGGCACGAAGGCUAGGGGAGCAAACGGG